UGAUAAAGUAAGCUAAAUUUAAGCUGUUGGGCUCAUAAUCCAAAAAUGGAGAUUAAUUCCCUUUAUUAA
rnacentral:tRNA from 1 species